rnacentral:rRNA from 1 species
GAUGAACGCUGGCGGCGUGCCUAAUACAUGCAAGUCGAGCGAACAGACGAGGAGCUUGCUCCUCUGACGUUAGCGGCGGACGGGUGAGUAACACGUGGAUAACCUACCUAUAAGACUGGUAUCACUUCGGGAAACCGGAGCAAAUACCGGAUAAUAUAUUGAACCGCAUGGUUCAAUAGUGAAAGACGGUUUUGCUGUCACUUAUAGAUGGAUCCGCGCCGCAUUAGCUAGUUGGUAAGGUAACGACUUACCAAGGCAACGAUGCGUAGCCGACCUGAGAGGGUGAUCGGCCACACUGGAACUGAGACACGGUCCAGACGCCUACGGGAGGCAGCAGUAGGGAAUCUUCCGCAAGGGGCGAAGGCCUGACGGAGCAACGCCGCGUGAGUGAUGAGGGUCUUCGGAUCGUAAAACUCUGUUAUUAGGGAAGAACAAAUGUGUGAGUAACUAUGCACGUCUUGACGGUACCUAAUCAGAGAGCCACGGCUAACUACGUG